rnacentral:rRNA from 1 species
UACGUAGGGUGCAAGCGUUAAUCGGAAUUACUGGGCGUAAAGCGUGCGCAGGCGGCUUUGCAAGACAGAUGUGAAAUCCCCGGGCUCAACCUGGGAACUGCAUUUGUGACUGCAAGGCUGGAGUACGGUAGAGGGGGAUGGAAUUCCGCGUGUAGCAGUGAAAUGCGUAGAUAUGCGGAGGAACACCGAUGGCGAAGGCAAUCCCCUGGACCUGUACUGACGCUCAUGCACGAAAGCGUGGGGAGCGAUCCGG